GGGCUGUACCUCAGUGGUAGAGCAUCUACCUUGCAUGCAUGAGGCCCCAGUUCAAUCCUUAGCGGCAUCU